rnacentral:lncRNA from 1 species
UGAUAAAAAAAUAUUUUUUCACAAGUCAAUUGAUGCUUCAGAUAGGGCGCACGACGCUGCAUACAUUCUUGGACUGAUGGAAGUGAUUGAUUCAAUAGGAGAGCAGAAUGUCGUGCAGGUUAUUAUAGAUAAUGGGCCAUAAUAUAAGGUCGCUGGCAAGUUAUUGAUGGAGCGACAAUCGUAUGUUUAUUGGACAUCAUGUUGCAUAUUGCAUUGGUCUCAUAUUGAUGGAUAUUGGGAAGCUUCAUAGAAUGUAGCAGGUAGUGGACUCAUCUUAGUCUAUUAUUAGAUUUAUCGACAAUCAUAUAUGAAUCCUGUCAUUGAUGUGGAAAUAUAUUGGAGGAAAGAUCUUAAGAUCGGGUGUCAUACGAUUUAUAACAAACUAUAUGGCACUUGAUAGCCUUCUGCAGAAGAAAGCAGUCUUGCGUUAGAUGUUUGUCAGGGUCGAAUGAUAGGAGAGUAGAUAUGCGAAGGCCGGUAUUGAGGAAAGUCAUGUGGAGAAUUUGAUAACCAACCAGUCAUUCUGGCAACGUGCUGAUAAGAUAGUGAAGGUUAUCAAGCCAUUAUAUGAGGUACUUCACAUCAUGGAUAGUAAAAGAUACCCUCAGAUGGACUUCUUGUAUCACAUGAUGGAGAAGGUAAAGAAACAAAUUAGUGAGAUAGAUCAGAAACAUGCUCAAGAAUACAUUAACAUCAUUGAGUGCCGCUAGGACUAUCAGAUGGAUAGGGAUUUGCAUCUAGUCGGUAAGUAUGAAUUAAAAAAUCAUCUAAAAUUUUUUUUGUACUUGUAUAAGUCUACUUAAUCAUUCGUAGAAUUUAUUUUCAGCUUACUAUUUGAAUCUGAGGUUUCAGUACACCAUACCUGAGAUAGAUAUAGAUAAUGAGCUUCUCACUGCUCUCCGUAAUGUGAUAUAUAAGAUAGUGUCUGAUCCAAAAAUUGUAUCUAUAUGUCUAUAAGAGGUAUAUUAGGUCAAUUAAGGUGUAAGCAUUUAACUUAAUUCGGUUCUGUCUGUAAUCAAUAAUAUAUUUAUUAAUAAAAUAAAUAUAUUUUUUACAGAUGAAACAGUUUAAAGAGAAGACAAACAGCUUUAGAAUCUCAUUAGCUGUCGUAAGCAAAAAGAAGAUGAAUCCAGAUAAACUACAUAUCAGUACUUAAGAUUUUAUUGACAUUACAUGCCUACUAAUAUUAUAACAUCUAAUACAUAAAUUUGUUUAAUAUUCUUGUAGCUGAAUGGUGGAUUUAUUUUGGACAGUUCGUAUAAAAUUUGAAAAGUGUGGCCAUUCGCAUUCUUUUUCAAACGAUUUUUUCUAGCGGAUAUGAGCGCAAUUGGUCAAUUUUUGUCCAUAUCUACGGCAAACAGAGAAAUCGUCUGACACAAGUGCCUCAACGAUCUUAUAUAUGUGCACUAUAAUUUGAGAUUGAGACUAAACUGCGUCCAGGAUGAAGUACUGUUGAAGUAUACGGAUCCAAUGAUAGAUGACUAUGCCAUUGAUGUCGAGGAUCCGAUGAUUUGAUGGCUUGCAAGCCAGCAGCAGGAGUCAAAACUUGAUGAGCUGAGAUCUCCUCCACGACUUGCCAAUGUGGUAGCUAGAGAGAUCAGCAUGGAUCUAGGGCAGUAGGCAUAUGCAAAUAUUUUUCAUAGGGUUCCAGUUGAUCAACCAUAAUAUAAGGAAUCACAGGGGAGUCAUUCAUUACGUGACUCCAUAUCCAAGACAUUCUCUCAGAUGUUUGAGCGAGAAAUAUUUAGAUAAGGCCGAUUAUCUCAAGCAGGAAGAAGACAUCCAUCCUCCCAAAUAUAGCAAAAUCAAUCACAGAGGGGCAUCAGGGGAGCUCGAAAAGAUAAAGAAAAAGAAAAGACAGUUGCAGCACCUUUGAGAGUGUAGGAGUCAGUUGACUCAGAUUUGGAGACCAGCGGCAGCAAGAGUGAUGAUAGCAGUCAUGGAUCCGAUAAUCAGUGAGGGACUUGAGGAUACGAGAUCACUAUUCAUGAGAUGCAGCCGCAGGAUGGUAUUCGAUUCACCAGUGAGUCCCAAUUUACGCAUGCUACACAAGAUAGGGACCACGGUGCACGAGCUGAUAGAUCCCGUGAGGAGACGAUUUCAUAUAGACGACAGCCUCUCAGAGAUCGUCCAACACAUGAUACAGCUACAGAUGAUCUUGCACGUGGAGUAGGAUCCAUGGAUGUAUUUAGAUCAUCUUCCGUAUUAUGGAUUCUAUCAUCCGCAGGUAGCUUAUGAUUCAUAUGGAUAUGGUGUAUUCGAGACAUCGGCUUCUGAUGGCUAUUAUUUUAUGCAGUCUAGAGCAUCUUAUGGAUUGGAUGUUGCUACUGGCAUAUUUGGAUGGGCCUUUCCACAGCCAUAUCAUCAUCUUGAGGAUAUCUCUCAGAGUUAGAGUUUGAGCGAGAGAUCUGAGAUGUUUUACAAUCCAGAGAGAAUACUUUAUGAAAUGAAUAUUCAGAAGUACAGUGCUAUUUGGGUAAAGGGAUAGACCAAUGUUUCUCCGGAGUAUGCGGAUGAUUCGGAUAUCUACGAGUGUCACAGACACUUGAUGAGAUAUUAGAUCAGUGG